GACGAACGCUGGCGGCGUGCCUAACACAUGCAAGUCGAACGGGGUCCAUGGGAGCUUGCUCCCGGAAGACCUAGUGGCGAACGGGUGAGUAACACGUGAGAAACCUGCCCUGGAGUGGGGAAUAACUCGGGGAAACUCGAGCUAAUACCGCAUACCCUCGGAUGGUCGCAUGGCCGACCGAGGAAAGAUUCAUCGCUUCAGGAGGGUCUCGCGGCCUAUCAGCUAGUUGGUGGGGUAACGCCUACCAAGGGCAACGACGGGUAGCUGGUUUGAGAGAACGAUCAGCCACACUGGGACUGAGACACGGCCCAGACUCCUACGGGAGGCAGCAGUGGGGAAUCUUGCGCAAUGGGCGAAAGCCUGACGCAGCAACGCCGCGUGCGGGAUGACGGCCUUCGUGGUUGUAAACCGCUUUCAGCAGGGACGAAAUGACGUACUGCAGAAGAAGCCCCGGCUAACUACGUAGCCAGCA
rnacentral:rRNA from 1 species